rnacentral:rRNA from 1 species
AGGAUAAACGCUGGCGGCGUGCCUAACACAUGCAAGUCGAACGUCUCUUUCUUCGGGAAGAGGAGUGGCGGACGGGUGAGGAACACGUGGGAACCUGCCCUACAGUGAGGAAUAUCGGCGAGAAAUCGCCGACAAGACCGCAUAGCCCUCUCUGGUGAGAGCCAGAGAAGGAAAGCUUCGCAAGAGGCGCUGGAGGAGGGGCCUGCGUCCGAUUAGCUAGUUGGUGGGGUAAGAGCCUACCAAGGCGUCGAUCGGUAGCUGGUCUGAGAGGACGAUCAGCCACACUGGGAUUGAGAACGGCCCAGACUCCUACGGGGGCAGCAGUAAGGAAUUUUCGGCAAUGGGGAAACCCUGACCGAGCAACGCCGCGUGCAGGAAGACGGCCUUCGGGUUGUAAACUGCUUUUCUUUGGGACGAGCAAGGACGGUACCAGAGGAAUCAGCCCGGCUCACUACGUGCCAGCAGCCGCGGU